rfam:Alphaproteobacteria bacterium RIFCSPHIGHO2_12_FTLL_63_12 rifcsphigho2_12_scaffold_1036, whole genome shotgun sequence.
CGGCGGGCCACGCUUCCCCAACGAAGCGCGACUCAUCUGUAAGGAUGGGAGUG